rnacentral:rRNA from 1 species
CUGGCUCAGGACGAACGCUGGCGGCGUGCCUAACACAUGCAAGUCGAGCGAGGAGAUCCUUCGGGAUGAUCCUAGCGGCGGACGGGUGAGUAACACGUGGGCAACCUGCCUCAUAGAGAGGAAUAGCCUUCCGAAAGGGAGAUUAAUACCUCAUAACAUUGCAGUUUCGCAUGGAACAGCAAUUAAAGGAGUAAUCCGCUAUGAGAUGGGCCCGCGGCGCAUUAGCUAGUUGGUGAGGUAACGGCUCACCAAGGCGACGAUGCGUAGCCGACCUGAGAGGGUGAUCGGCCACAUUGGGACUGAGACACGGCCCAGACUCCUACGGGAGGCAGCAGUGGGGAAUAUUGCACAAUGGGGGAAACCCUGAUGCAAGCAACGCCGCGUGAGUGAUGACGGCCUUCGGGUUGUAAAGCUCUGUCUUCAGGGACGAUAAUGACGGUACCUGAGGAGGAAGCCACGGCUAACUACGUGCCAGCCGCAGC